rnacentral:pre_miRNA from 1 species
CCCUGUUCAUCGUGGUUGUGAUGUCCUCUUUGAAUCAUCACAACCUGCAUGAAUGAGGAC